rnacentral:rRNA from 1 species
CUUGGUCAUUUAGAGGAAGUAAAAGUCGUAACAAGGUUUCCGUAGGUGAACCUGCGGAAGGAUCAUUAUCGCAUUAUAGGCGAGGGUUGUUGCUGGCCUCCCGAGGCAUGUGCACGCCCGAGCUCAUUAAUCCAUUUACACCUGUGAACUUAAUGUGGGCUUUCGGGCCCAUGUCUUUCAUCCACACUUUUGUAUGUCUUCAGAAUGUAAUCAUAUCGUUGCCGUAAAAAGCAAUUUAAAUACAACUUUCAACAACGGAUCUCUUGGCUCUCGCAUCGAUGAAGAACGCAGCGAAAUGCGAUAAGUAAUGUGAAAUGCAGAUUUUCAGUGAAUCAUCGAAUCUUUGAACGCACCUUGCGCUCCUUGGUAUUCCGAGGAGCAUGCCUGUUUGAGUGUCAUUAAAUUAUCAAUCCACAAUCGAUUUGUUUCGGUUCUGGGCUUGGACUUGGAGCGUGCUGGCUUAACCGUCGGCUCCUCUUAAAAUGCAUUAGCGAAAAUCUCUUUGACUUUUCGGUCAUCAGUGUGAUAAUACGUUUUCGCUGUUGCCUGGGUUGAAGUUCGCUUACAAUGGUCCGAAAGGACAACACUUACCAAUUUUGACUU